rnacentral:lncRNA from 1 species
AUUAAAUAUAAGAGGGAAGCUCAGAGAGGUCAGAGGCUGAGAUUGACUUUCAGAACAGUGCCUUUGACGUCCAAAGAGGGAGGACAGGCUUAUUAAAAAUGCAGUGUGGAUUGCAAAUCUGUCACACACCCAGCACCACGUGGAGCGGGAGGAUGGAUGAGGCGGUUAUGGAGAACCUGCUGACAACAAGAGCCUCUCGAGUGACGGGAAGUGGAAAUUUCAGGCAGAUUUUGGGGACACAGAAGCCAGAUAUCCUGUAAGGUACAGAUCACAAUGCAGUGGGGAUUUAAGACCUGAUGUGCAGCACAGCUGGUUUGGGUUCCUGCCCCCAGCCCCACCUGCACGGAGCAGACCAGCAGGAGGAGGGAAGCACAGUGCUGGAAGAUACACAUCCAUUAUCUUAUUACCCUUUGGCAUCAUCAGAGAUCCAUUAUGACUGAGGUCCAAAAUACAUUAAAAGCCUUUGAACUGAUCAUUUACAGCCAAUCAGCAGCAUCACUGUACUUGGGUAUUUCUAGAGGUUGCCUGGUGUCACCCUUGUGAUGCAUUUAAUGAUACAACCAGGAAAGACAGAAGAGCAGAGCCAAAAUACCCCCACUGUUACCAAACAUCAAUACUUUUAGAAGCCAUAUUAUGAAACUACAACUUUCUGACAUACAGUCAUGGUGAAUAUUAAUAAAUUUAUUAG